CAUAGAAGCAAUUCAAAACCACUUGAAACCCAACAAAUAAAAAGACAUACAAACUCUACACCAAAGCACCCAUUAUUGCAGAAUGAAUAUAAAGUAGCGGUUGCAAGGUGGAAAUGGCCAUCAAAUGCAAUCUGUAAUACAUCACUUUGGAGGCGGUGCGUGUGCGAAAGGAACUUUGGGUGGUGGUGCAUGGUGCACCGGAGCAGUUUUGGGGGGUGGUGCGUGGUGCAUGGGAUCGAUUUUGACGGGAUGAGGGGGUGGAGCAUGGUUGAAAGCAGAUUUGGGUGAUGGAAAAUGAGGGUGAUGGUGGUGGUGGUGGUGGUGGUGGUGAGAUGGGGGUGGCGAGUGGUGGUGGUGUUCCACUCCAAACACAGGGACUGUUUCUCUCACUAGAAGGGCUAGAGAGAGAAAAAGAAAAGCCAUGGAAGGAGCAGCAAAACCCAUGUCUGAUUUUGGUGGGUUUCUC
rnacentral:lncRNA from 1 species